CCUUUUGAAGAACAUAUUGGGGUUUGAUGAUGCAUUCAACUACAAUGAAGAAUCGUACCUAAAUGAAGCCAUAAAGAGGAGGCAAAAUGUUCGAUUCGGUGCUCCCAAACAUUAGACCCCACGGUCGCAUCACCGCCUGCAGGACGAUCUCGCAGUAUGACGAGGAGGAGCCAAACGCGACACACAACUUGAUGUAUGUGAUCGUAAAGAAAAUCCGAAUGCAAGGAUUCGUCGUCUUCGACUACUUCAUUGUUGAAGGAAUUGAGGCUGCGCCAGCUGCUUUGGUUGGACACUUUUCUGGUCGCAAAGUGGGAAAGCAAGUUGUUCUUGUGGCUCGUGAUUGAUCAAUUUGGUCCUAUCGAUCUUGAUUUAAUGGACGGUGAGGAUUGAUUUGUGUA